GAUGAACGCUGGCGGCGUGCCUAAUACAUGCAAGUCGAGCGAACAGACGCGGAGCUUGCUCCUCUGACGUUAGCGGCGGACGGGUGAGUAACACGUGGAUAACCUACCUAUAAGACUGGGAUAACUUCGGGAAACCGGAGCUACUACCGGAUAAUAUAUUGAACCGCAUGGUUCAAUAGUGAAAGACGGUUUUGCUGUCACUUAUAGAUGGAUCCGCGCCGCAUUAGCUAGUUGGUAAGGUAACGGCUUACCAAGGCAACGAUGCGUAGCCGACCUGAGAGGGUGAUCGGCCACAAUGGAACUGAGACACGGUCCAGACUCCUACGGGAGGCAGCAGUAGGGAAUCUUCCGGAAUGGGCGAAAGCCUGACGGAGCAACGCCGCGUGAGGGAUGAUGGUCUUCGGAUCGUAAAACUCUGUUAUUAGGGAAGAACAAAUGUGUAAGUAACUAUGCACGUCUUGACGGUACCUAAUCAGAAAGCCACGGCUAACUACGUG
rnacentral:rRNA from 1 species